UUGACUAUAUAUUGGACUUUUAAACAAAUCUUCUAUUCAGACAUGACCAAAAGAGACGUCAAACUUACUCUACAAAGAUGUCUGUUAGCAAGACUUAAGCAACAAAGAUAUCAAACAUUGGGAAAAAAUUGAUCAGCAUCAAGAACCAUGAUGAACAGUUUAGGCCAAAAUAAAUUAUACCUUAAAUCAGGUGGAACAAUGAAGUCAUUUGUCCCAAAAAUUAGACAAAACUAAAUGUCUUAAAAAUGUUAUGGCUAUUUUCUUUUCAUGACUUGUUAUUUAGUUGGACACAACUUGUUAAACUUAUUAUUGGUUAGAAAUUUAGAAUUACUUUACUUAUUCAAUAAAUUUGAAGACUUAGAAAAUAA